GACGAACGCUGGCGGCGUGCCUAAUACAUGCAAGUUGAGCGCUGAAGGUUGGUACUUGUACCAACUGGAUGAGCAGCGAACGGGUGAGUAACGCGUGGGGAAUCUGCCUUUGAGCGGGGGACAACAUUUGGAAACGAAUGCUAAUACCGCAUAAAAACUUUAAACACAAGUUUUAAGUUUGAAAGAUGCAAUUGCAUCACUCAAAGAUGAUCCCGCGUUGUAUUAGCUAGUUGGUGAGGUAAAGGCUCACCAAGGCGAUGAUACAUAGCCGACCUGAGAGGGUGAUCGGCCAAAUUGGGACUGAGACACGGCCCAAACUCCUACGGGAGGCAGCAGUAGGGAAUCUUGGGCAAUGGACGAAAGUCUGACCGAGCAACGCCGCGUGAGUGAAGAAGGUUUUCGGAUCGUAAAACUCUGUUGGUAGAGAAGAACGUUGGUGAGAGUGGAAAGCUCAUCAAGUGACGGUAACUACCCAGAAAGGGACGGCUAACUACGUG
rnacentral:rRNA from 1 species